GUAGGGCCCGAGCAUUAUCCGGAAUUAUUGGGCGUAAAGAAUGUGUAGGUGUUCCUACAAGUCGGUCGUUAAAUCCCACCGCCUAACGGUGGGGCCGCGAGCGAAACUGUAGGAAUUGAGGUUUGCAGGGGCAAGCAGAAUUUUUGGAGUAGGGGUGAAAUCCGUUGAUACCAAAAGGAAUACCAAUGGCGAAGGCAGCUUGCUGGGCAAUACCUGACACUGAGACAUGAAAGCGUGGGGAGCAAAGGGGAUUAGAUACCCCCGUAGUCCACGCCGUAAACGCUGUCAACUAGCAAUUGGGAGAGUCGACCCUCUCAGUUGCGAAGCUAACGCGUCAAGUUGACCGCCUGGGAAGUACGAUCGCAAGAUUA
rnacentral:rRNA from 1 species